CGCGAUAUUGGAUCCGCCUGCUGUUGGGAGCCCAACAGUCAGUGAGACCAGCACAGCCGCUGCCAGUGAGAGCAGUGCAGCCACGGCGAAG
rnacentral:ribozyme from 1 species